ensembl:lncRNA
UGAAAAGAUAAAUACAAGUUGAAUAGUUGAAUGUCUUGUCUUCGUUUUAAAGUUUGAAUGGUGGCUCUAUGUCAACGUAUGUGGAAGUAGUAGGAGUUUAAAAAUGAGUAAGUUGAAUGAGAAUUUGAAGGGUCUCCCCAUUGAAAUACAUGGGAAAUUUUUGUUGAAUAAAGUUGAAUAAAAUUAAAAAUAUAAAUGUUAAAAAUGAGAAAAGUAGAAGCAGUCAUGUCCAAAAGAAUAGGAAUCUAAUGGUGUUUGAAUGGUUUUUCUAAGUUGAACGGUUUUGAAGGAGAUAGAUUACAAAAAACGUACGGAAUAGAUAAUAAUAAAAUAGAACUAGAAAGUGCAUUUUCUGAAGAAACUGCAGUGUGAAUGCUUGAAUCUGAAUGUAUGCACUGAAAUGAAUUAAUUACUGAAUUUAAGUUAAAAAUCUUGAAUGAGAUAAAAAAAAAAAACCGAAUUUAACCUGAAAACAAAAGUGCUGAACUGCUAAAAGCUGAAGGUUACACAGAAGAAGAAGUUGGAAAAAAGCUGAAAAUGUUUUAAUUGUAAAUUAGAAAAACCUAAGAAAUGAGAAAAGAACAUUUAGAGUCAGAAAACAUCUGAAAGAAUAUUAAAAGGUCAUAUUCUUUGAAUCACUGAAUGACUAAAAUGUGAUCCCUCCACUUGGAUCCACACAGUUUAAAAAGUUUAAAUGUCUGAGCUUUGAAAGACAAGAUGUUGGAAAAAGAACAACGAUGGCGACGUUUUGAGGGUAAAAUGAUGGCUUUAACACUGUGGACACAGCAGCAGUUGAAAGAGAAGUGUUUAAGAUGAAUCUUGGCAGAGUGGCAGGCAGAGCUCGUUAAGCAGGCAGGUGUGAGCCUGGUUGCUAUAGUGACCGCACCCAAUGGCUCCAUACACACGACACAGACAUGCACCUCACUUUUGCUGCUUAAAAUGAACAGAAAAGUCAGGCCGAAACAAAUCGUUCCCAAAUGAAAAGUAAAAGUCGUAUUGACAAAAUUCUUUCACCGUGAGCGACAGCAAUGUCUAGUCUACCUAAUUCUCAGUUUUCAUGCCUGUGGAGCUUAUUAUAUGGACGUGGUGACAGUGGAAAGACACCAUGCUCUUCUGAUUUUCAAACGAACCUUCUGAGCCAUUUUAACAUUAGAGUCUAUGGAAGAGUUGGAGGGAGGAGGCUGUGCAUUGGUGACAUUUAUGAAAGAACCAUAACACCUAGGACAAUAGUAAACACAUUGGAUGAAAGAGGACAGCCAUGGCUACGUUUUGAGGGUAAAAUCAUACCUGUAGAGCAAACGCUGCGGACACAGCAGCAGUUUUAAAAAAGAUUUUAAGAUUAAUUUUUUUGCUCCUCUCACUCUAGCAGUUGAGCUGCCUCACUCUAGCCCCAACAUUCCGUCCCAUACACACCCAUUAUAAACUCUGAAACGGGUGAAAAAACAUCAUGAAACUUAAACUGGAACUGAAGAAAAAGUAUAAUAGAUAUUGAAAAGAUAAAUACAAGUUGAAUAGUUGAAUGUCUUGUCUUCGUUUUAAAGUUUGAAUGGUGGCUUUAUGUCAAUGUAUGUGGAAGUAGUAAGAGUUUAAAAAUGAGUAAGUUGAAUGAGGAUUUGAAGGGUUUCCCCAUUGAAAUACAUUAUAAAUUUUUGUUGAAUAAAGUUGAAUAAAAUUAAAAAUAUAAAUGUUAAAAAUAAGAAAAAUAGAAGCAAUGUUGUCCAAAAGAAUAGGAAUCUAACGAUGUUUGAAUGGUUUUUCUAAGUUGAACGGUUUUGAAGGAGUAGGCUUUCAAAAAACGUACGGAAAAAUAAUAAAAUAUAACUAGAAAGUGCAUUUUCUGAAGAAACUGCAGUGUGAAUGCUUGAAUCUGAAUGUAUGCACUGAAAUGAAUUAAUUGCUGAAUUUUGAGUUAAAAAUAUUGAAUGAGAUAAAAAAAAACAAAAAAAAAACGAAUUUAACCUGAAAACAAAGGUGCUGAACUGCUAAAAGCUGAAGGUUACACAGAAGAAGGAGUUGGAAAAAAACUGAAAAUGUUUUAAAUGUAAAUUAGAAAACCCUAAGAAAUGAGAAAAGAACAUUUAGAGUCAGAAAACAUCUGAAUGAAUAUUAAAAGGUCAUAUUCUUUGAAUCACUGAAUGACUAAAAUGUGAUCCCUCCACUUUGAUCCACACAGUUUAAAAAGUUUAAAUGCCUGAGCUUUGAAAGACACGGUGUUGGAAAGAGAACAAUAAUGGCGACAAUUUGAGGGUAAAAUGAUGGCUGUAACACUGUGGACACAGCAGCAGUUGAAAGAGAAGUGUUUAAGAUGAAUCUUGGUACAGUGGCAGGCAGAGCUCGUUAAGCAGGCAGGUGUGAGCCUGGUUGCUAUAGUGACCGCACCCAAUGGCUCCAUACACACGUACACAGACAUGCGCCUCACUUUUGCUGCUUAAAAUGAACAGAAAAGUCAGGCCGAAACAAAUCGCUCCCAAAUGAAAAGUAAAAGUCGUAUUGACAAAAUUCUUUCACCGUGAGCGACAGCAAUGUCUAGUCUACCUAAUUCUCAGUUUUCAUGCCUGUGGAGCUUAUUAUAUGGACGUGGUGACAGUGGAAAGACACCAUGCUCUUCUGAUUUUCAAACGAACCUUCUGAGCCAUUUUAACAUUACAGUCUAUGGAAGAGUUGGAGGGAGGAGGCUGUGCAUUGGUGACAUUUAUGAAAGAACCAUAACACCUAGGACAAUAGUAAACACAUUGGAUGAAAGAGGACAGCCAUGGCUACGUUUUGAGGGUAAAAUCAUACCUGUAGAGCAAACGCUGCGGACACAGCAGCAGUUUUAAAAAAGAUUUUAAGAUUAAUUUUUUUGCUCCUCUCACUCUAGCAGUUGAGCUGCCUCACUCUAGCCCCAACAUUCCGUCCCAUACACACCCAUUAUAAACUCUGAAACGGGUGAAAAAACAUCAUGAAACUUAAACUGGAACUGAAGAAAAAGUAUAAUAGAUAUUGAAAAGAUAAAUACAAGUUGAAUAAUUGAAUGUCUUGUCUUCGUUUUAAAGUUUGAAUGGUGGCUCUAUGUCAAUGUAUGUGGAAGUAGUAAGAGUUUAAAAAUGAGUAAGUUGAAUGAGAAUUUGAAGGGUCUCCCCAUUGAAAUACAUGGGAAAUUUUUGUUGAAUAAAGUUGAAUAAAAUUAAAAAUAUAAAUGUUAAAAAUGAGAAAAAUACAAGCAAUCAUGUCCAAAAGAAUAGGAAUCUAAUGGUGUUUGAAUAGUUUUUCUAAGUUGAAUGGUUUUGAAGGAGUAGGCUUUCAAAAAACGUACGGAAUAGAUAAUAAAAUAUAAGAA